rnacentral:rRNA from 1 species
GAUGAACGCUGGCGGCGUGCCUAAUACAUGCAAGUCGAGCGAACAGACGAGGAGCUUGCUCCUCUGACGUUAGCGGCGGACGGGUGAGUAACACGUGGAUAACCUACCUAUAAGACUGGGAUAACUUCGGGAAACCGGAGCUAAUACCGGAUAAUAUAUUGAACCGCAUGGUUCAAUAGUGAAAGACGGUUUUGCUGUCACUUAUAGAUGGAUCCGCGCCGCAUUAGCUAGUUGGUAAGGUAACGGCUUACCAAGGCAACGAUGCGUAGCCGACCUGAGAGGGUGAUCGGCCACACUGGAACUGAGACACGGUCCAGACUCCUACGGGAGGCACCAGUAGGGAAUCUUCCGCAAUGGGCGAAAGCCUGACGGAGCAACGCCGCGUGAGUGAUGAAGGUCUUCGGAUCGUAAAACUCUGUCAUUAGGGAAGAACAAAUGUGUAAGUAACUAUGCACGUCUUGACGGUACCUAAUCAGAAAGCCACGGCUAACUACGUG